AUAUUUAGUCGCGGUAACACGUCCCGAACAGUCGAAUCCUAUCCUUGCUUGGGACUCGAAGCGUCCAGAAAAAAUUGUUCAAGUUCUACUACGAGUCUGUCACUGUCGAUAAAAGUACAGCAAUAAGUGAUUUCUUUGCGAUGAGAUUUUACAGGUAAAUCCACUGGCCGAUCCCCUAUGUAUUCUUAGUUCGCAGCGAAAUACACUCUCGCUCGACGUGACGUAUAGCCACGUAGAAAAGGAUGAUCAUCGUAUUCGAGCAUCGAUGAGAGAACAACGCAGACUGUACCUAUACGUGACGGCGAGAAAUUUUCAUAUUCAAUUUUCAUAGAGGGAGAACGAGCGAAUAUAAUCGCAAAUCGAGAUUGGGCAACAGUAUCUCGCGAAAAAUGGCGGAUAGAGGCAAGGAGGACUUGAAAAGCCUUUUCCGGAGAAGGUUUCCACAGUACAUCGCUGCUUGCGCAGCGUGCAUGGGCGGAUUCUCUUUGGGUUGUGGAAUUGGUUGGAGCGCGCCGUGCGUCGAAGUGCUGAAAGAGAAGCACGAGUACGAUACGUUCUCGACGAACGUGAUCGCGUCGGUUUUUCCGCUGGGUGCAGCACUUGGGAUGCCAGUGGUGCCUUUCCUGGUCGACAAGAUCGGUCGAAAGUGGACGAUGAUGUCGCUGGUACCCGCGUUCCUUCUCGGUUGGAUGUUCAUCACAAUUGGGGUGACUACGUUCGUGCUUCUAGUCAUGGGCAGACUAAUAACCGGCGCCUGUGGCGGAAUGUUCUGCGUCGUCGCGCCGAUGUACUCGGCCGAGAUCUCCGAAAAAGAGAUUAGAGGUACAUUGGGAGUCUUCUUCCAAUUGCUACUCGUGAUCGGGAUUCUGUACGCUUACUGCUGCGGCUACGCUAGGAACAUCGUUGUGAUAUCGAUUCUAUGUGGUAUCGCUCCUCUUUUAUUCGCCAGCAUCAUGACCUUCAUGCCGGAGAGCCCGCUGUUUUACAUGGCGAAAGAGAACGAAGAAGCCGCCAAGAAGUCGAUGCGAUUCUUCCGUGGAUCGGAGUACGAUAUCGACCCUGAGAUCAGCGCGUUUAAAGAUCAAAUAGAGAAAAGCAGGCGCGAGAAGGUGACGUUCUCUGCGUUCUUGAAGAGACCAGUGUUGAAGACUAUGGGAGUGGCAUAUGGGUUGAUGUUCGCGCAACAAUUCAGCGGCAUCAACGCUAUUAUUUUCUACUGCGAGACGAUCUUCAGGCAAACUGGCGUUAACAUGGAUCCCCUGCUCCAGAUGUUGAUCUUCGCGGUGGUCCAGGUGAUCGCCUGCGCUAUAUCGGCCUCGUUGAUCGAUCAGCUGGGUCGGAAGGUCCUCAUGAUGAUAUCCUGCGGCGUGAUGUGUCUCUGUCUGAUGGCUCUAGGCAUCUUCUUCGUUUUGAGGACCAACAAUCCCGACCAAGCCGACCGUCUAUUUUGGUUACCGCUCGUUUCUGCUUGCCUAUAUAUCCUGGCUUUCUGCCUGGGUGCCGGUCCCAUACCAUGGGCCUACAUGGGCGAAAUCUUCCCAGCGAAACUAAAGGGGACAGCUUCCUCCAGCGCGGCGUGUUUGAACUGGAUGUUGGCGUUCAUCGUGACCGUAUCGUUUUCCUCCGUGGUCGAUGCUGUUGGGAACGCAGCUGCGUUCUUUUUCUUCGCGAUGAUCUGUCUAUUGAGCGUGGUUUUCGUGAUAUUCUGCAUGAUCGAGACCAAGGGGAAGACGUUUGCCGACAUUCAAAGGGAGUUCGGCACCUACGACAUCAACGAACGAUGAUAGCAUUCGAUCAGGAGAAAUACAUAGACAGAGAUUUCUGCGGACCUAUCGCUGAGAGCAUCGAUAACAGUAUAAAUUUGUCAUCGCACGAUAGCGGCGAGAUGAAUGUGAAAUGCCGGUGCGUGGAUCGUAGAAACUUUAGAAAUAUUCAGAGAGUCUCAUUUUCCGAGCGGACAAAAUUCUUUUCCGACGGAGGAAGGAGAUGCAAGCUAAACUUGAACUCUCGAGGACUAUGCGGUCCGUGCACGCACAUAUGCAGAGGCACGUACAAUGCGUAGCUGCGUUGCAGCUUGCCUGCCCUUGGUGUGAUUCUCGAGUCAACAAUGAUGCGCCUGUGGCUGGCUCCGCCCAUGUAAAAUGAAAAAUCGUUGAGAUUAGUGUGUGACGAGAGUUAUUUAUAUUACGAGAGAAGGCUGGCCCCGUUUGAACGAAAAAGCCUGAACGCGUUCUUUCAUGGACGUUGACCUAACGGGUUAAUCGGGGAGCAUCGAUCGAUCACCGAGCAAUGAGAGCCUGAUUGGUAAUUGCUCGUCGAUAGCAAACACCACCUACCUCUCUUUAUUCGCCUUUCUUUAAUAAGAAACGCCGAGAACAUGGUAUAUUCAUAAUUAUAUUUUAACACUGCUAUAUAGAAAUUUAAUUCGAUUUCGAUUAACAUUUGCUCUCUCUUACUAAAAAAGAAAAGAAAAAAUUAGCAACUAACUGUUUUCAAUAACUUUCCGUAGGAAUUUAAAGAACAACUGCCUUUUACUCCUCUGAUCAUGAACCCCUCACUUCGUUCAAUUCCAUCUGUUAGAUAGUUCUGUUUGUGGAACAAUCUUAAUGUAUGAGAUCAACGAACAAUUUAACGUUUCCGAAAUAAACUUCUACCGAGGAACUAUUCGAUCGGAGAUCAAACGUUUCUUCUAGUAUUCGUCUUAAUAAAUACGCGAAUGUCGAGGAUGAAUUGUCUGCUCUCCCUACCCUUCCCUUUCUGCUGUUCGAUGCAUUUGUCAUGCAGUUGCCAUCGCUCGGUAGGCGUUCGCUUUCAUCGAUUAUGCAUUCGAAUUUAUAUUUAUGAAGCGUAGUAGCUUCUCGUAUCGGCGUUCUAAUAAUGGAUGCUGCUAUAAACCUCUCGUCAGGGUCGGCCGUUGCAUGUCGACGUACGCUGCCUACUCUCUGUAUCGAGCCACGCGUUGUCUCAGCUUCGCAGAUUUUUCCCUCCAUGUUGUCGUGCGUUUUGCGGAUCCUCCAUCGGCGGACCGUCCAACAAACGCUGUUUCCCCACGUGGCCGGAUGUUUACGCGCGCCUCGAUUCCUCGCGGGACAGAAGGAAAGGAGAGAAACGUUCUCGAGCAGGAGGAUGUCGAGGAGAUCCACGCAACGAUCGAACCGGCAUCGUUCGCUUCGAAUCGAAUAGAACGAUCUUUAAGUGGAAAUCGGAUCAUCUCGUUAAUCCUUGAUUCGUUAAGUGAAUUUAAUUUGUUAUUUCUAAUAAAGGAACGAAAUCUACGGAACGAGCAAAGAUUAGCAAUUGGGCGAAUUUGACCUCCUGGUUGACGUUCUAGGUUAACGCUAGGAAUACCAAAGUGGUCAAAAUUCGCAAUUCUUUUAUACAAGGUAUAUGCUCCUACGAUACUCUAGGAGUUAAUCGUUAUUCGUGGCGAUCGCCGUGAGCGUUGACACGCUAGGCGAACGGAAGCCACGUGCUGCUGACCAAGUGGAGGCGAGCGACCAUUCUACAACAGUGUUGGAUCCCUUCGUCGCCGAAUAAAUUUGCCGGCGAAACCGAAAGUAUCGGAGGAGAAAGGCAGGCACGCUCUCAUGCAAGAAACAGCCCCGACGGGAGGUCAGGAGAGACCAGACGAGUUUUUCGCGCGUUCCGCCAAGAAUUGCUCGUAGGUUCUUUCUUCGUGGGAAGAAGCUGACUUCUGGAAGCGACUGGUGGAAAAAUGGCUCGGUGUUACAGAAUGUUUGCCAGACUCUCUCGUCCGUUUCAACUUCCCUUCUGGCGAGUUGAUUUUCGCCAGAUUCAUUUUCGAGUCAAAAAUGACAGAAAAAUAGCGACUUUUCUUUUUAUCAAAGUACAUGAAAUUUGCAUUUACUUUAUCCAAUUAUGAAAGCGAAAAUAUAUCUACAUUUAACUACAAAAGUGUAAAACAAUGUCGCAAGAUGCAGCGUGAAAGGGUUAAAGGAUGAUCGAAGAGCCGUGUUCACCGACAAAACCCGAUUCUUUCUCCGGUUUCUCUCCGAACGCUGGACCGAUACGCCAAGAGAGCCAGUUCGAAGUCGUUGGUACGAGGCAGUCUGUUGUAUAUUUCAUGAACGGUGAGUUUCCAUCCUCGUCGGUGUAUCGGGAGAGAAGGACAAGCUGGAACGCGUCGCUGACGUGGUACGAACCACGCACGAUGCCAUCGUCGCACCGUUUUAUUAUACGUAACGCUCGCGUCUGCGGAAAAUUGCGUUUUUUCACAUAAGCUCUACGCCACGCGAUAGGGAUGAUUACGCCGCAUCUCGUGUUUACGAACGCUACAAACCUUCUACUACCUUUGCAAUCUUCUACCCUUUCCUUCGCCUCAGCAUCGCUUUUUUUUUAAAUUUCUUUUAAAGAAUUUUGUUAGCAACUUUUCUACAUUCCGCUAUGAAAGUUCAUUUCCAAGCGACGUUCGCUCACCCGAAUAAUUAUGCAAAUUAAAUUACCGUAUAAUUACUGUUCCAAGUUCCGGUUUUCACGAGAAAAAUCGAUAUCGAAAAGUCGCGGUUUUCGAAUGCCACGAUUUCCAGCACAAAAGUUUCGCAGCGACCCGACCUCCACCCUUUGCCUCUCUUCUCAUCGGAUAGAUUCCAUUUGCCUUUCUUGAUGUCACCCUAUCGUUCUCCAAGCCUGUUUACCUGUCUCCUCUUCGGCUGGCUGAGUCGACCCACACACGAUCCGCGCUUCAAGGUUCCGCUCGCGGAUCACUUGGCAGACGGUGCGAACGCGCGCGCACACACGUGUAUCGUCCCCUCUUUUACUCUCUUCUUCUCCCGUUUGCUCCGCGUCGAUUGCACACUGCACCAUUGCACCGCGGGGCCAUUGGCCUCUCUCCGCUCGGUAUCGUCACGCGUGCUCGCUCGUUUCUCGGCGACACACAGCUCGAAGCCGAAAAGCACCGUGCUGCGAGAGCGCGCUUUUUUCUGCACCUCUCUCCUCCGCGAUUUAUCGCGAGGCCAUGCUCGUACCUCGUAUUGACUCCGCACGGCAUGCUCGCCUGCGUCACGCGCGAAACGAGGACGGGUCACCGUGUCGCGAGCCGAUUUUUCCUAAGUGCAUGUUCGUACGAUCGGUUGGAAUUGUGGCUUUCGCACGAAUAUCGAAGAGAUAAGAAUUGGUUCUUCCGUGCAGCUACCACGUUCAAGCCACCUCGGGACCAGUUUUAUUUCUUGCUGUAUUUCGUAUUAGCGACGCGGCAACUAUUCAAAGAACGUAGAAUUUCUAACGGACUUUUACUCGAAUUUCCGAUGCUGCAUGAUCUUCCCGACUCCGUGUUAAGAAUACGAAUAUCGCGUCCUUUUCAAGACUUUAAGGUUCUCCGUGUGUUAUUUGAUCCUUUCGCCGAUCUUACUCUCUGUGAGAUUUUUUAUAAAAUUACUGAAAUUCGUAAAGGUGCAUGAAUUCCUACGGUUCUACGCGAGGAAUUCGAGCAUUAUGCGUAGUAUUGCUUCUCUGCUACAAAAUAUUUUCAUUAGAUUACUACAAUUUAUACGGACACGUGGAUUUUCACGAUUCUCUCUGUCAAAAUACACAAAUAUCAUAUCUACUCGCAUAGCACUGCUUACGCGUGUCUUCCAAAAUAUCUUGCACGGAAUUCGUCGAAUCCGUCAAAUUGUAUGAAUUUCCAGGAAUUAUACAUCUCCAGGGAAAAUACAAAUAUUCUCUCCUAUUGCAAAGCUUUCACGAUUCUCCUGCAAGCAAGCGCGCCGAUUAAUUGCUCCGUAGUUUCACCGUUAAUCAAUCUUCCAUCACGUACCUUGUAACGAUGUGUCCCCGGAAUGAAGCCGCCGCUAAUGGAGUCGAAACUCUGCCUAGACCCUCGAGCCUCCAAAUUUAGCGAAAGCGAGGAAGCAGGGUGCCCCGUAGGCGAUUAAUUAAUUUCUAUCUGCUCCGAUCUUGGUCUGUCCGAAUCGCGAGAUUCUCGUUUCCUGUGCGCGCUAUCGGCCUACCAUAAAUAACGCGAACGCAGAAAUAAACGCGGUAUCGGGCCAGUUUCGCUCGUCUCUCGAUUAUGCAUUAGCUUGUACACGCGCUCAAGUUUCUCUCUCUCUCUCUCUCUCUCCUGUCUAUCUCUAUCUUUGCUGCGUCUGACUAGUAUCGUCAGUCUGUCCACUAUCUACUUACUGCCGCUGGCUCUUUCUUGGUACACGCGAGAGAGGGCUGAAUUCGUAGGAGGAUCGACGUCAAUGGAGAUCGCUGUUUCGAAUGUUCUACACGGAAUCCUUUUAUCACCAGUCCGCGUGCCCGCCCUGAAAGAAACUACUGUGCACGUGCGUCAAUGGUCGCGUUCCAGCGUACCAGCGUAUCAGCGAUAGCAAUAUCAGCCCCUUGCUUUUUCUUCGUCGCUUUCCUCCAGCAUUUUUACUAGAUCAUAAGAAACGUUGCAUUCUCUCUUUAUUCGUAAGUAGUAAUUUUUAGGAAAAUUUGGGAUUCCCUUCUAAUGUGAAAAUUACAACGUUUAGAAAUUAUUGCAGGAUUAACAUCCGUCCGCCACAGGCGAUGAAACAUAAAUAAAAAAUGAAAUGUAAGAUUCUUUAUACAGUGUAAUAACGAUCAACGAAUUCGGUUUGACGCUUGCUGUCAUUUUCAUGGGUGUACUCCGAUUUCAAGUCGCUGAUGCUAAUUUCACGUUUACUGUUUUUCUGCUAUGUAAAUAUCGUAUAACUACGUGUUUCCUGUUCCCCACUGCAAUAUGUCGCAAUAACUACGAGUUUCCUGUUUUCCAACAUAAUAUAGCAAUUUCAAUAUUGGACGGUAAUACACAGCAAAGUAAACAAGCGUUUCGCUUUUUCAAUCUU